rnacentral:rRNA from 1 species
AUCAACUUUCGAUGGUAGGAUAGAGGCCUACCAUGGUGGUAACGGGUAACGGGGUGUUAGGGCACGACACCGGAGAGGGAGCCUGAGAAACGGCUACCACAUCCAAGGAUGGCAGCAGGCGCGCAAAUUACCCAAUCCCGACACGGGGAGGUAGUGACAAUAAAUAACAAUACGGGGUUCUUUCGGAUCUCGUAAUUGGAAUGAGUACAAUUUAAAUCUCUUAACGAGGAACAAUUGGAGGGCAAGUCUGGUGCCAGCAGCCGCGGUAAUUCCAGCUCCAAUAGCGUAUAUUAAAGUUGUUGCAGUUAAAAAGCUCGUAGUUGAAUUUCGGGGUUAGUAGGUUGGUCAUGCCUCUGGUAUGUACUGGUCUCACUGAUUCCUCCUUCCUGAUGAACCGUAAUGCCAUUAAUUUGGUGUUGCGGGGAAUUUGGACUGUUACUUUGAAAAAAUUAGAGUGUUUAAAGCAAGCUAACGCUUGAAUACAUUAGCAUGGAAUAAUGAAAUAGGACGUUCGAUCCUAUUUUGUUGGUUUCUAGGAUUGACGUAAUGAUUAAUAGGGAUAGUUGGGGGCAUUAGUAUUCAAUUGUCAGAGGUGAAAUUCUUGGAUUUAUUGAAGACUAACUAUUGCGAAAGCAUUUGCCAAGGAUGUUUUCAUUAAUCAAGAACGAAAGUUAGGGGAUCGAAGACGAUCAGAUACCGUCGUAGUCUUAACCAUAAACUAUGCCGACUAGGGAUCGGAUGAUGUUAAUUUUUUAAUGACUCAUUCGGCGCCUUACGGGAAACCAAAGUGUUUGGGUUC